rnacentral:lncRNA from 1 species
AUUCCAGGAAGCGUUUGCACAUCCUGGCCCCAGAGGAUUUUGCAUAGCCUCACCGAGAGAAGAAGUUGGAAAGAAAAAAAAAAAGAGAGAAGAAGUUGGCAAGGCAUCCAGAGGAGAUCACCACCCCCCCGCCCAGCACCUGGGUUCUCUGCCAGGGGAGAAAGUUAUCAAGAAGACUGGAGCAGGCAGUCCAGGGCUGAUACAGCUGCUCCAAUCACCAGAGAUGCAAUCUCCUGCUAGAUGUCUUCACAUCUACCUUUCUAUGUCACAUGUGCAAGAUAGCUGCUCUGCCUCCAGACAUCACAUUUACAUUCCAGGCAGAAAGGAGAAGGAAAGAGCAAAAGAUGUGUUCCGAACAAAUCCAUCUUAAAAACAAACAAACAAAGGGAGGGGUGGCAGGAGAAAAUUUAAAAAAAGAAGAAGAAAAACAAACAAACAAAAACAGGAAAGCCGUUGUUUCCCUAAAAGCCCCACCAAGCCGACUUCUACUGAUGACUCAUUACCCAAACAGUCAUGUGGCCAUCGCUGGAUUCAAGGCAGUCUGGGGAGGUGAGUGCUUCAAAGAGGCACAUGGAUGCCACAGACAAAUUCAGGUUUCCGUGGUUGAAGGAGAAGAGGACGAUGGAGUUUGGGGAGGCAGCCGGCUACGUCUGCCACAGAAGAUAUCAAGACACAGAGCCACACGAGAAGAUGGGAGAGGCUGCCAAGAAAGGCCACUGGGUACCAGUGAGGAGCGGGUGACACUGGAGUUGCUCCAUCUGAGGAGCUCACACCUGCAGUGGCUUGUGCUCCUGUUCCUGUGGGUAUAGGCACAAGGCUGAUGCUGAGAGAGUGAGUUGUUUCUGUUGGGGUUCAGAACACAAUGCCCCAAAGUAUGGUGCUGAGUACUUAACUAAAAGACAUUGGAAGGCCUCAGAAGCAGCCUCAGAUCCAAGGUCCCUCUGACCUGCUCCUGCCCUCCUGUCUCUCUCAUCCCUCAUUCUCCCCUGAAGUGAGUCAUAGAAACCAGAAUCCUCUUCCCCAAGGCAGGUCCUAGAAACUAGAACCCUUCUUCCCCGAAGCAAAAGCCAUAAAAACUGGAAUUAUUACUCUAAACUCUCCCUGACUUUCUGUCCAGAAGAUGGCCAUAAAGAAAUUCUCAGCUAGGUGUGGUGGCUCGUAUCUGUCAUCCCAGCACUUUAAGAGGCCAAGGUGGGAGGAUCACUUGAGGCCAGGAGUUUGAGAUUGGCCUGGGCAACAUAGUAAGACCCCCAUCUCUACAAAACUUUUUUUUUUAAACUUAGCUAAGCGUGGUGGUACACCUGUAGUCUCAGCUACUUAGGAGGCUGAGGUGGGAGGGGCCCCGAUCUGGCUGUUACUGCUUUAUCACAGGGAGUGCCUAUCUGUGGGCUGCUUUCUACACAUCAAAGCAUUUUCAGAAAGGGCCAACAUCAGCCUUGGAAAAAAGGAGGAAGGGCCAUGGAGAGUCUCCCUCUCUAUCUUCCCCUUAUCCGUGAUGUGAGAGUGCACAUGCCUGUGUGCACAUACACACAACACACACACACACACCCCACAGACACACAGGGUCGAGAAUCUGCUGGGCAGAACUUAAGCCACUGAAUGUUUCAGUAGGAAUCAUGAUAUCUAAAAAUAGGACAGCUGAUAGGUUAAGGGGGUUCUUACUACUCACAGUUCCUGAAAUUAUAUGCAAUUGCAUUUUGGAAACUCAACAAAUAAACAGCAAGUAUAGAAUUAAGGAAUCAAAGUUUGGUGAAGUUCAAAGAAGCUGAUGUUACAAGAGUAAACAGAGAGGAAGCCGGGCACGGUGGCUCACGCCUGUAAUCCCAGAACUUUGGGAGGCCAAGACAAGCAGAUAACUUGAGGUCGAGAGUUCAAGACCAGCCUGGCCAACAUGGUGAAACCCUGUUCUCUACUAAAAAUACAAAAAUUAGCUGGGCGUGGUGGCAGGCACCUGCAAUCCCAGCUACGUGGGAGGCUGAAGCAGGAGAAUCGCUUAACCUGGGAGACAGGGGUUGUAGUGAGUCGAGAUCACACCACUGCACUCCAGCCUGGGCAACAGAGCGAGACUCCCUCUCAAAAAAA